rnacentral:tRNA from 1 species
ACUUAAAUAAUUUAAAUAUAAAAUAUUGAUUUGUGGUAUCAAAUAUGUGAAACAAAAUUCAUUUUAAGUU